rnacentral:rRNA from 1 species
UACGUAAGGGGCAAGCGUUGUCCGGAAUCACUGGGCGUAAAGCGCACGUAGGCGGUUUAGCAAGUCAGGGGUGCAAGCUCUAGGCUUAACCUAGAAAUUGCCUCUGAAACUACUUCACUUGAGUAUUAGAGGGGAAGCUGGAAUUCACGGUGUAGCGGUGAAAUGCUUAGAUAUCGUCAAGAACACCUAUAGCGAAGGCAGCUUACUAGGCUGUAACUGACGCUGAGGCACGAAAGUGUGGGGAUCAAACAGG